rnacentral:lncRNA from 1 species
CAAGGCGUAGCUAUUUUCACAUCUGGGUAAGAGGCCAAGAACAGGAGAAUAGAACCAUGGCACAGACUAUGAAAUUCUUGAUGACAGAGACUCAGUAUUAUUCAUCUUUCUGGCCUCAAGACUAAUAUACUGACCCUGAAAGAAAUAGGUACUCAAUUAAUAUUUGGUGGUCUGUGCCCUCCUGUUGGCCCAGUUUCUUCCCAGCGUUGUUCCUGAUUGAGACUGUAUGCUGGGUUUUGGAAAGCCCUGCUUUUUGUUAAUUGUUCAAACAAACCCUCUCUAAUAGCAGCACGUGUAAAAGAAGACUUUAGAAUUUAAUUUAUUCCAGUGUAAUGAGGCUGCCAAAAAGAGAUCAAGCUUAAUGGGUUCCAGCAUGAGUGUGCAGUUUCAGAAAUGAAGUUCCACUUCAAUUCACAAGUUAUUAUCUACUUUCAUUAAUGGAAUUGGAAAAGAGAGAGUGGAAAAGAGAUAAAGAAUGAGGAAGAAGAGAGAGAUGAGAGAGUGGGAGGAAGAAAAAAAUAAAGAAAAUAAAAGACCAGGAUGAAAGAAAAAAAAGUCGACCAAAUGGAAAAGAAAAAGUCAGACUAAGUGUAAAUAGGAAGCAGAAAGGAUCUUUCCCCUACUGUGCUGGUCUUGGGAGCUACACUGAAGGUAGUGCAACCACACGGAAGAAGGAGGCAGAAUCAGCAGUUUGAGAGCAGCAGUAAGAACACUGUUUAGACUUGAGACAUGGAAGAAGACUGACCUGGUCCCUGCAAUCCCAGGAGACUGUCAAGUUCCCCCAACCCUUUAAAGCCCUUCGCUAGUGGUUAUGGAAAGAGACAGAGCUACAUUCUACUCCUGGAUAAUCACUAGUUAAUGGUGUGAGGUUGGAAGGCCAAUGCAAUUUGAGAAGUACUUCUUGAGUACCUACCACGUAUUUGUCAUCAUGCUAAACACUAAAUAUUCAAAGGUUAAGGCUCUACCUUGAAGAAGAUAUGAGUCUAAAGGGAGAAGAAUCAGCAUGUUUGUAACUACAGUGGAACUCCCACACCAGAAGAAUGGACAGAAGCUAUGGAAGUACAGAGGAGGGAUCAUUUAGACUGAGGAGGAGCCAUUUGAAUUGGG